rnacentral:siRNA from 1 species
UCCACCUAUGUCUUGUGCUGC